rnacentral:rRNA from 1 species
CUUGACCGCUGGCGGCAGGCUUAACACAUGCAAGUCGAGCGAGCGGCGGACGGGUGAGUAAUGUCUGGGAAACUGCCUGAUGGAGGGGGAUAACUACUGGAAACGGUAGCUAAUACCGCAUACCAUCAGAUGUGCCCAGAUGGGAUUAGCUAGGAGUGGGGGUACUGGCUCACCUAGGCGACGAGCCCUAGCUGGUCUGAGAGGAUGACCAGCCACACUGUAACGGAGACACGGGCCAGAAUCCUACGGUAGGCAGCAGUGGGGAAUAUUGCACAAUGGGCGCAAGCCUGAUAAAGCCAUGCCGCGUGUGUGAAGAAGGCCUUCGGGUGGUAAAGCACUUUCAGCGAGGAGGCGUUACUCGCAGAAGAAGCACCGGCUAACUCCGUGCCAGCAGCCGCGGUAAUAC